UUGAAAUGACUAAAAGAUGAAGAUUUGGAACGAGUUAGGAAUUUGGAGGCGUUUGUGGUUGAAGGAAUUGCAACUCGAACUCCAUAGCUUCGCCGAUUUUGAUUCUUUGGUUUGCGUUCAUUUCUGUGUUUGGGUUGGACCUAGAACUAGAAGAGAUGAGGUUUCUGCGUUUUUGUGUUUUGAAGGACUUGGAUUGCAUUUUGACUUUUGAGUGACUUAGUCAUGAAGGGGUAUUUUUUAUGAAUAAUUCUGCAACGGUUGUUAAAACCGUCGUAACCACUGUCACAAAUAUUUCAAAAAUUACACUUUGCGACGGUUUUGCCCAAGUGGUUGCAAGAGAAGU
rnacentral:lncRNA from 1 species